rnacentral:rRNA from 1 species
AACGGCCGCGGUAUCCUAACCGUGCGAAGGUAGCGUAAUCACUUGUUCUUUAAAUGAGGACUAGUAUGAAUGGCACCACGAGGGUUAAACUGUCUCCUUUUUUUAAUCAGUGAAACUAAUCUCCCCGUGAAGAAGCGGGGAUUCUUUUAUAAGACGAGAAGACCCUAUGGAGCUUUAAACAAGUUAACACCUGCUACUAAUCUUCACUUUCCUGAACCACCACAUUAAAUAUAGCACCUCUGAUUAACAGUUUUCGAUUGGGGUGAUCAUGGAGCAAAAAUCAACCUCCACGACGAAAAGGAACACCUCCUUGAGCCAAAAGCUACAACUUUAAGCACUAAAAAACUAACGCACUUUGACCCAAUUCUUUGAGCAACGAACCAAGUUACCCUAGGGAUAACAGCGCAAUCCACUUUAAGAGCUCCUAUCGACAAGUGGGUUUACGACCUCGAUGUUGGAUCAGGGUAUCCCAGUGGUG